GUAUCACGUUGAAACUCUAGUUCUCGUACGAUUACCGAAGUUAAACAACGUUGAACCUGGUUAGUACCUAGACGGGUGACCACUUGGUAAUACCAGGUGAUGUAAG